GACGAACGCUGGCGGCGUGCUUAACACAUGCAAGUCGAACGGAAAGGCCCUGCUUUUGUGGGGUGCUCGAGUGGCGAACGGGUGAGUAACACGUGAGUAACCUGCCCUUGACUUUGGGAUAACUUCAGGAAACUGGGGCUAAUACCGGAUAGGAGCUCCUGCUGCAUGGUGGGGGUUGGAAAGUUUCGGCGGUUGGGGAUGGACUCGCGGCUUAUCAGCUUGUUGGUGGGGUAGUGGCGUACCAAGGCUUUGACGGGUAGCCGGCCUGAGAGGGUGACCGGCCACAUUGGGACUGAGAUACGGCCCAGACUCCUACGGGAGGCAGCAGUGGGGAAUAGUGCACAAUGGGCGGAAGCCGGAUGCAGCAACGCCGCGUGCGGGAUGACGGCCUUCGGGUUGGAAACCGCUUUCGCCUGUGACGAAGCGUGAGUGACGGUAAUGGGUAAAGAAGCACCGGCUAACUACGUG
rnacentral:rRNA from 1 species